rnacentral:rRNA from 1 species
CAGUCGCCACGGUAAUUCGUAGGUGGCAAGCGUUGUCCGGAAUUAUUGGGCGUAAAGGGCUCGCAGGCGGUUUCUUAAGUCUGAUGUGAAAGCCCCCGGCUCAACCGGGGAGGGUCAUUGGAAACUGGGAAACUUGUGUGCAGAAGAGGAGAGUGGAAUUCCACGUGUAGCGGUGAAAUGCGUAGAGAUGUGGAGGAACACCAGUGGCGAAGGCGACUCUCUGGUCUGUAACUGACGCUGAGGAGCGAAAGCGUGGGGAGCGAACAGGAUUAGAUACCCGCGUAGUCCCUGUCUCUUAUAC